CCUACGGGUGGCUGCAGUGAGGAAUAUUGGUCAAUGGGCGGAAGCCUGAACCAGCCAAGUAGCGUGCGGGAUGAAGGCCCUACGGGUUGUAAACCGCUUUUGCACGGGGAUAACACACUCCACGUGUGGAGGUCUGCAGGUACCGUGCGAAUAAGGGCCGGCUAAUUCCGUGCCAGCAGCCGCGGUAAUACGGAAGGCCCGAGCGUUAUCCGGAUUCAUUGGGUUGAAAGGGUGCGUAGGCGGGCGUUCAAGUCAGUGGUUAAAUGGCGGGGCUCAACCGCGCCCCGCAGUUGAAACUGGACGCCUUGAGUUCACAAGAGGCAGGCGGAAUACGUGGUGUAGCGGUGAAAUGCAUAGAUAUCACGAGGAACCCCGAUUGCGAAGGCAGCCUGCCGGGGUGCGACUGACGCUGAGGCUCGAAGGUGCGGGUAUCAAACAGGAUUAGAUACCCUUGUAGUC
rnacentral:rRNA from 1 species